UCCUGGUAUAGCUCAGUCAGUAGAGUAUGAGACUCUUAAUCUCUGGGUUGUGGGUUCGAGCCCCAUGUUGGGCA